rnacentral:rRNA from 1 species
UACGGAGGGGGCUAGCGUUGUUCGGAAUUACUGGGCGUAAAGCGCACGUAGGCGGCUUUGUAAGUUAGAGGUGAAAGCCCGGGGCUCAACUCCGGAACUGCCUUUAAGACUGCAUCGCUAGAAUUGUGGAGAGGUAAGUGGAAUUCCGAGUGUAGAGGUGAAAUUCGUAGAUAUUCGGAAGAACACCAGUGGCGAAGGCGACUUACUGGACACAUAUUGACGCUGAGGUGCGAAAGCAUGGGGAGCGAACAGG